GAGGNGAAGCUGAGCAGCACGCCGCGUGGAGGAAGAAGGCCUUCUGGGUUGUAAACUCCUUUUAUUAGAGAAGAAUGGCAGGGAUUCGUCCCUGCAGUGACGGACUCUGAUGAAUAAGCACCGGCUNACUCCGUGCNAGCCGCCGCGCUAAUACGAACGA
rnacentral:rRNA from 1 species